GAACUAAGCUGCUGUCUGUACAACUGAGUCCUCUUCUUCAUGAAUUUGGCAGGAAACACUGCAAACUAGUUGAUGCCACGUCCCUCUGCUAUUGAGUUAAAGAGGGUACCACUUUUGGAUAAAAACAUGGACCUGAUUGGCAUCAUCUAGUAUCCAUGGAAACAUGUAGGCUCCAGGGGAGAAGAAAUGAAUCAUGCUAGCUCCAAACUGCUAUGAAGAGGGUACUCGAUCCUGUGACCUCCCUUUUGGAA